CACACCGCCCGUCACGCCAUGGAAGUGGCGAGCGCCCGAAGUCCGUGUCGGGACCCGCAAGGGACCAAGCGGCCGAAGGCAAGCGUCAUGACUGGGGCG
rnacentral:rRNA from 1 species